GACAGAGGGGUGCAAACGUUUGGUUCGGAAAUUACUGGGCGUAAAGCGCGUGUAGGCGGCUAAGUAAGUCGGGCGUGAAAUCCCACGGCGUCAACCGUGGAAGUGCACUCGAAAACUGCAUAGCUAGAGUCCUGGAGAGGAAGGGUGGAAUGCUUGGUGUAGAGGUGAAAUUCGUAGAUAUCAAGCGGAACACGGUGGCGAAGGCGGCCU
rnacentral:rRNA from 1 species